UACGGGGGGGGGUAAGCGUUGUUCGGAAUUACUGGGCGUAAAGGGCUCGUAGGCGGCCAACUAAGUCAGACGUGAAAUCCCUCAGCUUAACUGGGGAACUGCGCUUGAUACGGCAGAGCUAGAGGAUGGAAGAGGGUCGCGGAAUUCCCAGUGUAGAGGUGAAAUUCGUAGAUAUCGGGAGGAACACCAGUGGCGAAGGCGGCGAUCUGGGAAGAUACUGACGCUGAGGUGCGAAAGCGUGGGGAGCAAACAGG
rnacentral:rRNA from 1 species